AAGGGAUUCCCCUAGUAACUGCGAGUGAAGCGGGAAAAGCUCAAAUUUAAAAUCUGGUGGCCCUUGGCCAUCCGAGUUGUAAUCUAGAGAAGCGUCUUCCGCGCCGGACCGUGCACAAGUCUCCUGGAAUGGAGCGUCGUAGAGGGUGAGAAUCCCGUCUUUGGCACGGACACACCGGGGCUUUUGUGAUGCGCUCUCGAAGAGUCGAGUUGUUUGGGAAUGCAGCUCAAAAUGGGUGGUGAACUCCAUCUAAAGCUAAAUAUUGGCGAGAGACCGAUAGCGAACAAGUACCGUGAGGGAAAGAUGAAAAGCACUUUGGAAAGAGAGUGAAACAGUACGUGAAAUUGUUGAAAGGGAAACGCUUGAAGUCAGUCGCGUCGCCCGAGACUCACCCUUGCCUCGGCUUGGUGUACUUCUCGGCCGACGGGUCAGCAUCAAUUUUGCCCCUUGGAUAAUGGHGAGGGAAAUGUGACACCUUUUACGGGUGUGUUAUAGUCUCUCGUCSCAUGCGAGGGUCAGGAUUGAKBAACUCAGCACGSGBCUUUGGGCGUCGGGGUUUUUG
rnacentral:rRNA from 1 species